UAGGGACUCUACGGGAGGCAGCAGUGGGGAAUUUUGGACAAUGGGCGCAAGCCUGAUCCAGCAAUGCCGCGUGAGUGAUAAAGGCUUCGGGUUGUAAAGCUCUUUUGUCAGGAAGAAACGCUCAGCUAAUA
rnacentral:rRNA from 1 species